rnacentral:rRNA from 1 species
UACGGAGGGUGCAAGCGUUGUCCGGAAUCACUGGGUGUAAAGGGUGUGUAGGCGGAGCUGUAAGUCAGAGGUGAAAUCCUGCGGCUUAACCGUAGAACUGCCUUUGAUACUGCAGCCCUUGAGUAUCGGAGAGGUUGCUGGAAUUCGUGGUGUAGCGGUGAAAUGCGUAGAUAUCACGAGGAACACCAGAGGCGUAGGCGGGCAACUGGACGAUUACUGACGCUGAGGCACGAAAGCGUGGGGAGCAAACAGG